GCUGCAACAACAGAAGGGACAGUGUCAGACCCAGAGCAGAAAGGCAGGAUAUGUACAGUAUGUAAAACAAGAGUUCUUUCUCCCACCCUGGACAUUUUUUUUUUCAGGUCAGGAAUGCCUUGAGAAACUGCAAGUCACUUCUGGUGUGAGACAAUUGGCUGUCUGCAAGAACGUUGCCCAGGGAUGCUGGCCGGAUGUUUUGAUCAUCCUUGUGGGAAACUUCUCUCAUGUUCUUGGCUGAAGCUGAUAGAAGGAGCUCACUCAUGCUCUCCCCAGGCUGGAUAAGAACUGGCAAUUUUCAGACCUCUAUGCAGAGACCAUCACUGAUUGACUUUGUAGCUGCAAGGCUAUUCAAUGCUGGCUCAGCACUUUAUCCGCUACUGACCCCAAGCCCUCCUGUUGCACAAGACUUGAAUAGCACUUUAUAGUUAGCCAUCCCAAUGUUGAACUCUGGGUCAUUAUAACUGGCCCAUAAAUGGAAUAUUGUUACUACCGGUAGUUUUAUUUUUCAUUGUUGUAUGGCUCUGUUUUUAUUAUGUGCAUUGUAUUGUAUUGUAUUGUUUUUAUCAUGUUAGAAACUGCCCUGAGUCCCCUGAGGAGAUAGGGCGGUAUAUAAAUAAAGUUUCUCUUAUUAUUAUUAUAA